GAUGAACGCUGGCGGCGUGCCUAAUACAUGCAAGUCGAGCGAACAGACGAGGAGCUUGCUCCUUUGACGUUAGCGGCGGACGGGUGAGUAACACGUGGAUAACCUACUUAUAUGACUGGGAUAACUUCGGGAAACCGGAGCUACUACCGGAUCACAUGUUGAACCGCAUGGUUCAACAGUGAAAGACGGUCUUGCCGUCACUUAUAGCUGGAUCCGCGCCGCAUUAGCUAGUUGGUAAGGUAACGGCUUACCAAGGCAACGAUGCGUAGCCGACCUGAGAGGGUGAUCGGCCACACGGGAACGGAGACACGGUCCAGACUCCUACGGGAGGCAGAGGGGGGGAAACUGCCGAAAUGGGGGAAAGCCUGACGGAGCAACGCCGGGGGGGUGAAGAGGGUCUUCGGAUCGUAAAACUCUGUGAUGGGGAAAAAACGAAGGUGUAAGUAACUAUGCUCGUCUGAACGGUACCUAAGCAGAAGGCCACGGCUAACUACGU
rnacentral:rRNA from 1 species